UCAGCAGGUUGGACUGGUGAACAUGAUGU
rnacentral:piRNA from 1 species